rnacentral:rRNA from 1 species
UACGUAGGGGGCUAGCGUUGUCCGGAUUUAUUGGGCGUAAAGAGCGUGUAGGCGGCCAGGUAGGUCUGCUGUGAAAACUCGAGGCUCAACCUCGAGACGUCGGCGGAAACCAUCUGGCUAGAGUCCGGAAGAGGAGAGUGGAAUUCCUGGUGUAGCGGUGAAAUGCGCAGAUAUCAGGAAGAACACCCGUGGCGAAGGCGGCUCUCUGGGACGGUACUGACACUGAGACGCGAAAGCGUGGGGAGCGAACAGG